CCGACGGUGAGAGGCGAAAGCUGGGGGAGCAAACCGGAUUAGAUACCCGGGUAGUCCCAGCCGUAAACGAUGUGCGUUAGGUGUAUCGGUGACCACGAGUCACCGAGGUGCCGAAGAGAAAUCGUGAAACGUACCGCCUGGGAAGUACGGUCGCAAGGCUGAAACUUAAAGGAAUUGGCGGGGGAGCACCACAACAGGUGGAGCCUGCGGUUUAAUCGGACUCAACGCCGGGAAACUCACCAGAUAAGACAGCUGAAUGAUAGUCGGGCUGAAGACUCUACUUGACUAGCUGAGAGGAGGUGCAUGGCCGUCGUCAGUUCGUACUGUGAAGCAUCCUGUUAAGUCAGGCAACGAGCGAGACCCACGCAACAGUUGCUA
rnacentral:rRNA from 1 species